rnacentral:rRNA from 1 species
AGUGAACGCUGGCGGUAGGCCUAACACAUGCAAGUCGAACGGCAGCACAGUAAGAGCUUGCUCUUACGGGUGGCGAGUGGCGGACGGGUGAGGAAUACAUCGGAAUCUACUUUUUCGUGGGGGAUAACGUAGGGAAACUUACGCUAAUACCGCAUACGACCUACGGGUGAAAGCAGGGGAUCUUCGGAUCUUGCGCGAUUGAAUGAGCCGAUGUCGGAUUAGCUAGUUGGCGGGGUAAAGGCCCACCAAGGCGACGAUCCGUAGCUGGUCUGAGAGGAUGAUCAGCCACACUGGAACUGGGACACGGUCCAGACUCCUACGGGAGGCAGCAGUGGGGAAUAUUGGACAAUGGGCGCAAGCCUGAUCCAGCCAUACCGCGUGGGUGAAGAAGGCCUUCGGGUUGUAAAGCCCUUUUGUUGGGAAAGAAAAGCAGCAGGUUAAUACCCCGCUGUUCUGACGGUACCCAAAGAAUAAGCACCGGCUAACUUCGUG